rnacentral:rRNA from 1 species
UACGUAGGGUGCAAGCGUUAAUCGGAAUUACUGGGCGUAAAGCGUGCGCAGGCGGUUCUAUAAGACAGAUGUGAAAUCCCCGGGCUCAACCUGGGAACUGCAUUUGUGACUGUAGAGCUGGAGUACGGCAGAGGGGGAUGGAAUUCCGCGUGUAGCAGUGAAAUGCGUAGAUAUGCGGAGGAACACCGAUGGCGAAGGCAAUCCCCUGGGCCUGUACUGGCGCUCAUGCACGAAAGCGUGGGGAGCAAACAGG